rnacentral:misc_RNA from 1 species
AAUAUAGUAUAAUUUUUAUAAAUUACUCAAUAACAAGAUGAUUAAAUAUCAAAAUUAACCAGACUGCCUUGAAAAUCUUCUUUGAAAAGCAGGAUUUCCAUCUUCUUAUAAUUAGUCGUUACAAUGAUUCAGUACGGUUUCUUCUUGUGCAUUUUUCCAGCGUUAAUAACUUUAACGUCUUUGCAAGAAUAUAUACAAAUAGAGAUUGAUUCUGAAACAACUUGCUUUUUGAGCCAAAAAGAUCGUGAAUCCCCUAUUUUCUGUUGUGAUAAGAACGAUCAUGACAUCAGCUCGAAGUUUAAUUCUACUCAUUCUUGGUUUAUUGAAAACAACCGGAAAUGUGUUGCUACAAUAGAAAAUAUAAAAAAGCUGAACAUAUUUUGUCGUAAUAGAUAUUUUUAUGGUUCAGCUGGAGGAUAUAAUGGAGUCAUUACUCCUUCUAUGUAUGGUAAUAAUCAGCGAAGCGGUGAACCUCUAAAAUCUGGUGACAUAUUUAAUUAAUAUACAAACUAUAAAAUAAAAUUGCACUUACACUAACGUAGUACGUAAUAAUUUCUUUAACGUCAAAAUUAUUGAUUACUUUACUAUUUUAUUGUUAGUUGUUAAAAUAUUGCGUUAUAGUUUGUAUUUCUUGCUGCAUCAUGUGUAAAGGAUUUACGAAAAUUGUUACCAAUAUUGUUAAUCCACAUCAUUACUGUGAAUGUACAUAUUGAUUCAAGAUUUAAUGUCAACCAGAGUUUUGUAUCAAGAAGAUUUCGCGCGAAAUUAUUCACCUGAUGUCUGUACCUUGUAGAAGUAACCCAAUAAAGACUAUGAAAUAAAAUCUUAUAACAUA